GCGCCUCUAGCACAACGGUCAGUGCAUCGGCCUUCCAAGCCGAGGAUAAGGGUUCAAUUCCCUUGAGGCGCUCCA
rnacentral:tRNA from 1 species